rnacentral:rRNA from 1 species
GAUGAACGCUGGCGGCGUGCCUAAUACAUGCAAGUCGAGCGAACGGACGAGAAGCUUGCUUCUCUGAUGUUAGCGGCGGACGGGUGAGUAACACGUGGAUAACCUACCUAUAAGACUGGGAUAACUUCGGGAAACCGGAGCUAAUACCGGAUAAUAUUUUGCACCGCAUGGUUCAAAAGUGAAAGACGGUCUUGCUGUCACUUAUAGAUGGAUCCGCGCUGCAUUAGCUAGUUGGUAAGGUAACGGCUUACCAAGGCAACGAUGCAUAGCCGACGUCAGAGGGGGAUCGGCGACAUGGGAACGUAGACAGGGACCAGGGGACUACGGGAGGCAGCAGUAGGGAAUCGGCGGCAAAGGGCGAAAGCCUGACGGAGCAACGCGGAGUGUGUGAUGAAGGUCUUCGGAUCGUAAAACUCUGUUAUUAGGUAAGAACAGAUGUGUAAGUAACUGUGCACAUCUUGACGGUACCGAAUAAGAAAGCCACGGCUAACUACGUG